rnacentral:rRNA from 1 species
GAACAGGAACAAGCCCAGCACUGAAUCCCGCCGUUGUCACGGCGGCGGGAGAUGUGGUGUUCGGGAGGUUCCGCUUUCUCGUCGUCGCCAUCUCCUGUCCAAGUUCGUCUUGAACGGGGCCGUUUUCCCGUAGAGGGUGCCAGGCCCGUAGAGACGGAGGGCGGCGGCGAGAGGGACUCUCCUCAGAGUCGGGUUGCUUGAGAGUGCAGCCCUAAGCGGGUGGUAAACUCCAUCUAAGGCUAAAUAUUACCGCG